rnacentral:rRNA from 1 species
AUACGGAGGGUGCAAGCGUUAUCCGGAUUCAUCGGGUUUAAAGGGUACGUAGGCGGAUAGAUAAGUUAGUGGUGAAAUCCCGAAGCUCAACUUCGGAACUGCCAUUAAAACUGUCUAUCUUGAAUUUGGUUGAAGUGGGCGGAAUAUGACAUGUAGCGGUGAAAUGCAUAGAUAUGUCAUGGAACACCGAUAGUGAAGACAGCUCACUAAGCCAAUAUUGACGCUGAGGUACGAAAGCAUGGGUAGCGAACAGGAUUAGAUACCCUAGUAGUCC